CACAGCAGAGCUUGCUCUGUGGGUGGCGAGUGGCGACGGGUGAGGAAUACGUGGGAAUCUGCCCAGUCGUGGGGAUAACGUAGGGAAACUUACGCUAAUACCGCAUGCGCCCUUUCGGGGGAAAAGCCCGGGGGAACCUUCGGGCCUGGCGCGAUUGGAUGAGCCCACGUCGGAUUAGCUAGUUGGCGGGUAAAGGCCCACCAAGGCGACGAUCCGUAGCUGGUCUGAGAGGAUGAUCAGCCACACUGGAACUGAGACACGGUCCAGACUCCUACGGGAGGCUGCAGUAGGGAAUAUUUGGACAAUGGGCGCAAGCCUGAUCCAGCCAUGCCGCGUGAGUGAAGAAGGCCCUCGGGUUGUAAAGCUCUUUUGUCCGGAAAGAAAAGCGCCGGGUUAAUACCCUGGUGUCCUGACGGUACCGGAAGAAUAAGCACCGGCUAACUUCGUG
rnacentral:rRNA from 1 species